rnacentral:lncRNA from 1 species
UUAGGGUUUAGGGUUUUCGAUUCCUUGAUUAGGGUUUUCCAUGUUUCAAAUUUAAUCAAUCAACAUACAAUCAGGUUCUAAUUGGAAUCGAUUUAUGUUUCUAGUUUAGGAGAUUGUCGAUUUUAAUCUUAGGGUUUCUUUUAGGGUUUCAUCAAGACAUUGUUUCCAUAAUGAUGGAAUUAGGGUUCUUAUUGUUCUAGGUUCUCAGAUUAUGUUUAUACCUUUGUUUCGUAGGGGAUUUAGAACCGGACCACCUGAGAAUGGAUGAGACUUCGAGCUGAGAUGAUCGGACGUCUGCUGCCUCCUAUCGGGUCGCGGAUGGGGUCGAUCGCGGGCUGGAUGCGUCUCGGCUGCGAGCUGUUCGGGGAUCAGAUCGUCUCGGGUCGGUCGCGGACUUCGGGUUCGAUCGCGAGCUGGAUUGCGGUUCUUCUGAUCUGAAGCGUGAUCUGAGAAGCUUUGGGAUUCAAGAUGGAUCUCCUGAGUUCUUGGAUGAACUAAGAACAAGGUUAGGAUUAGGGUUUAGGUUUUGGGUUCCGAUUUUGGUCUCAGGGUUCAGAGGGUAUCGUGCUGAUAACGUGUUGUGAACAAUAGGGGAAAUCGUGUGUGUCUUAUUACUCAAUCAAAGUGUUCCCUUAUAUAGGGGUUACAAGAAUCAUAUAAAAGGAAAGUGUACAAAUCAUUAUCCUAAAGGAAAAAGGAAAACCUUUUAAAGAUAAACAUGAAGAGAUAAAUGGAAACUAUCCUAAGACUAAAGUCGGCCACUCUCUCUCCCUUUGGGCCGCCGAUCCUCUCUCUUUCCAUGAGCCACGGUUUGGCCAUUUGGUUACUAUCAAUCCACAUUGUUCAUAACAGUUAUUUCAAAAAGAAAUUUUUUUUUGGUAAGAAUGAAAACAGUUUGGACUUUGGACUGCUGUUGGUUAUGUUAAGUAUACGCAUUCUCCCCGUUGCCAUUACGUUAGAUAAUGGGGGUAACCUUCAAGGCCCAUUAUAUUGUGAUUUUGUUCGACAAGCUACAAAGCGCACGAGCCCCUCUCAAAAUUAAUCUAUUUUCAUUUUUUUAAAAUAAAACUAUAGGAAAACUAUAAAUAUAUGUAUGUGGAUUUCAAAAAUUUCCCGAUCUUAAUUAAUUUUCGUUACAGAAAUAUAUGAUUAUUUCCCGCAAUAAUUUGUGUACUUUCUAAUAAUUACAUCUUCGGUAUAACCUGUGAAAUAAAUCAAAUAAUUCGAUUAGUAGAGGGUUAAUUUAAUUUUUUUUUUUUUUUUUGUCGUCUAUCCAUCUAAGCUAGAUCAAGUGGAGAAUAGACGAACCGAUUCUCCUAAGAGCAUCUCCAUCUGUCCGGGUCUGAUCUAUAUGGGAAAACAAGUAGUCUCUGGUCCUUGCAUUCUUUGCUAACGCAUCUGCCCGACCAUUCCGACUCCGAGGAAUAUGAGACAGACUCACAUCGUCAAAAUCCUCAUGUAACCUCUGGAAAGCCUCGAUCUCUGCCGUAAAUGCAGGCCAAUCCAUCGGGUUUUCUGUCAUAUCCACUAAGUCCGAGCAGUCCGUCUCGAACCGUAUCGAUGUUAUCCUUCUGUUUCUCAUACAAGAGGCUGCCCAAAGUAAACAUUUCAUCUCAGCAUGCAAAGCUGAGAGGCUCCUGUGGCACGCCCUUAAUCCGAAGUAUUCUGAGCCCAUUUGAUCCUUAAGACUCCACCCUAAGCCACUAACGCUGCCAUUAUUGAUCCAUGAUGCAUCAAUUUGACAUGUAAGAAUUCCGGGGAUCCAAGGGGACACUGUCUCAAUCUCUGUAGUAGGGGAAUCGUCCUGAUCCUCAUUUGCUUCCUCCUUUUCAUUUGCUUUUCUCCAACAUUCUGCCUCAAGAGACGCGUGUUGAAGAAUAUCGAUUGGGGAUACGUCUUUCCCAUUAAAGAGUUUGUCGUUCCUCGCCUUCCAAAUGUACCAACAGAUCCAUGGGAAGGUAUCGAAUUGUGGUCUCAAAGGAGCCACCUCUUUUCUCUUCCAAAAUAGGAAGUUCAUGUUUUGAUAUAUGGAUGUACUCGGGAAGUAACCCGGAAUGGACGGAUAGUCCGAUAAAGCCCAAACCUGAAGGGUUGGGGGGCAUUCAAAAAGAAGAUGAUUAAUCGACUCCACUGGACCAGCACAUCUAGGACAACUCCUAUCGGUGCCCAGGUGUCUAUACAUGAGCCUCUCUGCCGUCGCCACACAGCCCGAGAUAGCUUGCCACAAAAAAUGCUUCAUCUUGCUCGGGGCCUUUAUCUUCCACACAUGGCUUUGUAAGCCUGUGAUACUUGGUUCUAUAACUCCUUGUGAAAGAUUCAACUUGGUCGAUCGGAGUAGAUCAUAUCCGGUUUUAACAGAAUAAACUCCUGAUUUUGUAUGGUUCCAAACAUAUCCAUCUGGAGCCCGAGAGCAAGAGGGUUUCAGCCCAAGUAUCAAAGGGAUAUCAUCUGGGUGAAAAAAGUCCUGUAAAAGCUGUGUAUCCCACUCAUUGGUAUCAUUCCUAAUAAAGGACUGAACAAGGAGUUGGGGUAGUCGGUAUACAAUAUGGUCAGCAGGUCUAGGUGGUCGAGCCACUUCAUCUGGAACCCAAGAUUCACUCCAAACCCUCGUAUCUUAUCCCGUACCAAUUGUCUUCCGUAGAUCCAUAUGAUGGUGAGUAUGUACGCCGAUCUUCUAAUGGAGAAGUGUGAUUAUAUUAUCUCCCUUUUAGAACACGUUCUAGUAAAGAGUUCGGAUAAUGAAUUAAUCUCCACGAUUGUUUUGCAAGAAAGAGGGUUAAUUUAAUUAAAAAAACAAAGAUUAACUGUUUUUUUUGCUAGUGUCGUCUAUAAAAAACCAGUUGGACUAUAAGUUAACGAAAGUCUAAAACUUUCAAAAUCUUCUCUCUGCUGGAUCGAGAAGAGUGUUUAACCUUUGGAGCUCUCUCUCUGUAAGUCUAUCGCAUUCGAUUCGAAUCCCACCUUUGAUUUCGUUCCUUGGUAGUGGUCCCCCCCCCCCCCCCCCCNNNNNNNNNNNNNNNNNNNNNNNNNNNNNNNNNNNNNNNNNNNNNNNNNNNNNNNNNNNNNNNNNNNNNNNNNNNNNNNNNNNNNACUCAGUUCGCCGCCGUUAGCUGCCGAAGCUUGUCUCCGUCGGUGAAUUUUGGUCAAUUGAGAGAGAUUUGCAAUGGAGAAAGUUGCUUCUCUCCGGUAAGCACUCUACUUCCCUUAACCGGAUUGGUUUACUCUCUCCCAGUGUCGUCUGUUGCAUUCUAAUGCGCUCAAUUGAACCCUAUCGAUAAGCUUAGGGUUUCGAAAAUGUGUUCAAUUCUUAGUUUUUUUUUUUUUUUUUUGGGCAAUUACUCAUAAUUGGGUCUGAUUGUUUAUCAUCUCUUAUUGUUGUUAGGUGCCAAAGUAAAGAACUUUGUGUGAAAUGAGUUGGUUUUUCACUCAAGAAAUGGUUAUACAUGUUAUGUUGGGUGAACUUGUAAGUUUGAAUAUGAGCAAUGGAGUUGGGGAAGGUGGAAGAAGUCAGAGCAGAGAAUCUCACGGCAAGAGAGAGCUUUUUCAAGGCAGUGAUUUCGCUUACGCUUUAGGGAGAAUAGCAGUGGCUCAGAUUUGCGAGAGUGUAGAGGUUAAUGUGUCUCAGCAAUCACAGAAGGGGGUUAGGUUUAGUUCUUUUCAAGAAUCUGCUCUUGAUACGCUAACCGGCGUAGCGGUUCANNNNNNNNNNNNNNNNNNNNNNNNNNNNNNNNNNNNNNNNNNNNNNNAUACGCUAACCUGCGUAUCGGUUCAGUAUAUCCAGAGCAUUGGGAAGGCUGCUCAGUUUUAUGCUAACGUGGCCGGUAGAGUAGAGGGUAACUCUCUGGAUAUUGUUCAGGCAUUAACGGAUUUGGGAUCUGGUUCUGGUGUUUCAGACAUUGAGUGUUGUCUUGGUGAUUCUGGUAUAGUCAAGGAUGUUAUUCGUUAUACAGGAGAAGCGGAGGAGGUGUCGUUUGUUUAUGCUCUUCCCCGUUUCCCAAUUAAUAAAGAGAAAAGAGAUUCUCCUAGUUUCUACGAGGUUGGAGCAGAACCUCCAUAUGAACACAUCCCUGUUUGGCUUCCUGCAUUUCCCGAAACUAAUGUAGGCGCAAUCGAAGGAAAUGGGCCAUCUUUACCGAGUAUACAGCAUUCUUUCAAUGGUGGUGGGUUAGAAGUACUCAAAUCUCCAAAGAGUGCUCGAUAUUCAACACAAGGAGAAGAAGAAAUGGAAGGUAAUCCGUUUCUUGCCGCACCUCUUCGGUUUGUAGAGAAUGAAGUGUCACCUGUGGUCCGCCUUCUGGAGCUUUCAAAUGAAGUUGUUGGCAUCAAUCACGUUCCUGAUAAGCAUACAAGCAACAACAACAGUCACAUCCCAGUUCUUGAGGCAUCUACUCCAUGUGAUGAUAUCAACAACAAGAACAAAUUAUCUGAAUCAGAGGAUGGAGAGAAGAAAGGUGGUGCAAGACCACAGCAAACUUUGUUGUGUUUCAAGAUUGGGACUUUAAAGAGACCUUCGUGUUUGGCAAUAAAGGGGAGCGUCCAGGGACUUCGGUGGUUUCAAGAAGGUGAAGUCAAGAGGGAGAAGAAGUCAGAAACCGAAGAAAAUGGUGAAAGAUUUGACUUGGCAAAUCUCGGCCCAGAUGUUGUUAUAUAGGUAUUGUCAUUUUACAAUUUGUAGACAGAAUAGCUUUUACAUCCUGAGAAUAAAGAGAAGAUUGCUUGGCCUCUAACUUAGUUUGUUAUUAUGAUUGACCAAUUCAUAUGCUCUAGCACUUGUUAUUUAUUAAUUAGACCUAUAUAUAUAUAUAUAUAUGCUGGUUACACAAACAAGUAGGAAGAGAACAGGCAAAAGGGUUGAAAACCCAGAAACCAAGGGUUCUCUUCCUCUGUAAGAUUCAUUCAUUUACAAUUCUAAGUGAUACCAAUAAAAAUUAAUAGAAGCAAACUUCAUUAACCAAGUCUCUGAAAAUCAUCCUCUCAAUAUCUAACACUAUCCCUGGAGUCUCACCUUCAAACGCCUUUAAGUUCAUGCCGUGACAUUGCAGGUCGUUCCAUGUGAGGUCCUCCUUGUCGUCCUCCAAGACACACUGUGAGUUGUUCUCUUGUAGCCUAUCAAUCUCCAAACAUAGCGUCUUCAGAAGUUGCUCCCCUUUUGAUAUAUUCUCCAUUGUUGUAAUUGGAUUUGCAGUUAGCCGUGGUUUGGUACAGCCUUCUGCAGUGAACCUCUGAGCUAGAAUUUCAUUAACGGUAUCGAAGAUGAGUUUUCUCCUGAUUAUCUCUGUCUGAUGUUGUCUUAAUCCCAUGCCCUUGUUCUGUUCCAGGAUGAAGAAGAGUCCAGGGUUGAUGGGGAGACGUGCUUUGUUCAGCUGAAUGCUUAUCAUACUGUAUUCAAGAUCUCUUAGAAGCCCUGAUGCCAACAAUAUCUCCGAGAUGUACUUGUGGUCGCCGCUUGCAUCUUCUUCAGAGAAGCAUUUGAGGAGAUCAGAGUCUUUCUGCGUUGGGUUCCGUUUAUUCUCAGGCAAUAUUAUCGAUCUGCAGAUGCUCACAGGCUUCUUUAUCCACACAGGUUCUUCAGCACGUAGAGCAUCGUCAUCUGGUAAGAUAACAAAGAAAAGAAAAUGAGAACAUCACUCAAAUCAAAACCUUGUGAAUCCAUGUAGUUAAUUGAAAUUGAUGAACUUGUAAUUGCUGCGAUGAACUUGUAAUUGCUGCGAUAUAUGAAUUGGUCACUAAUCAGUCUGAAGAUUAUUCUUUUGCAAGUGUCUCACCUUUAAAACUAAGAGAUAUCUUCCUCACAGGGGACGGUGAAUCCUCUUCAUCGAAGGCUGCAUCAAGAACUGAAACAGGGCUCGGUUGUUCAACGGUAACUUUCAGAGGUUUAAGAGAUGGUCUGUCUUGUUUGAUUCCAAAGUCUGGACUCUGCGUUAGUUAACAGAAGAGAUUCAGUUAUAUGAUACUAAUGAGAAGGGAUUAGGGAAGAUUUGUCAGAGAAACAGAUCCGUUUUUGUACCCUUUGUUUUGGGGUGUGCAGCUCUGGGAAGUCACAGUUUCUCUCCGGUUGGCGUCUGCUUGUAACCUCGACGUCAACAUUUGAUCUCAAGCUUAUGUUGCUGUCAGUUCUUAAACUUCUCAAGUCACUGCUUGCAUGGCCUAAUCGUUCAUCAGGCUGCUGAAGAGUACUGCGAGGUUUUAUCCCCUGUUUCCUUCUCGGUGAGACUGGCUCCAUUUGCUGUCUACCGAGCUGCCUUUGGAUCUUGCCUGGCUCUGAUUUUGGAGUAGUGGGUGGUGACUGCCUCUCAAACCCGAGCUUUUUGGGCUGCCUUCUUGGGCUAACGCUUUGCUGUUGGCUCCUACCUGACUUUGUUAUUGAGCAAGAAUCCGCCACCAAAGCUUGCCUCGACCUUAAUGUUUUUGGGCUAGUGCUCUUGGUCGAAUCUAGCUGGCCCUUGUAGAGGCCUGGCCUUGGGGUUAAAUCCAUCGCGUUCUGCUUCCCGGAGGUGACUUUUCGAAUUUGUCUGGGGUUGCCAACAUUGACAGUUGGCAGUGAAGUGGAAACUGGAGCUGCAGGUUUCAUUACAACGAUCGAUGAAGGUUUGAAGUUCAUGGCUGGACUUGUUGCAGCUGGAACUGGCUGCUGAGUUCUCUGCAUCAGAGUCGUGUUAUCUUUGCUUCCAUCCAUCAACUGCUGCGUCUUCUCCAUAGCCUCAAGUAUUUGCUUAAGAGCUCUGAGAUCUUUCCCCGCCUUUUUGAACUCCAACUGCGUAAGCCUCUUCUGAAUUUCGCCGUAAACCGUCAAUGCAGCGUCUCCUGCUUUCAUCUGCUUCCAUGGAGCUGGUUCCAAUGGAAACUUAGAAGCAGCAGGUAGCUUCUUGAUUGAGCCAACGCUUCUAGAUCUCCCUAGAGAUGUUGGUUCUACUCGGGACAUUGGCCUUGGGGAGUCGCAAAACCGGUUCUCGUUUCUCUGCUCGGUAUCGAAGUUGUCUGCAAUGACUUCAAGUCCCAUCAGUUUGGCCACCACGCUUGAAUUUGAUCUCCUGUGACUCAUUGUUACCGGUUCCUCUGGUGGACAACUUGAUCUACUAUCCAAUGACAACCUCGGUGUCUCUUUCAACUUGGAGCCUGUCUUGUUUCUCAUCUCCCUCUCAUCAUAUGAAAAGCGAGGACUCUCCCUGAGCCUAGCAGCCAUUCCUCUACCUUCAUUCCACUCACUAGAACUCCGAGAUGGUGAUCUCAAUGAUGCUUCUUUGAGAAGCAUCAUGCUAGCUCUAGCUGAAUUUGGCUGCUGCUGCUGCUGAUGCUGAGUGAAGGCUGCUGUCGUUUCGUCACGUCUGGUUCUCACUUCUCUAUUAAUAGAGCCUUUCACAAGCUCCUUUAUAUCAAACGGCAUCAUCGGUCCAGCAUUGAGCUGUUCUCUGGUCAGAUUCUCACCAGGCUGAUCGAAUUGAGAAGUUGCGGUACUGACUUCUGCAGAAGAAAAGCUGGAGGAGCGUGGAGAAGAGGAAAACGAAUGCCGUGAAGAAGAUUCAGAAGAGGCUCUAUGCUUAUCCUUCACUGCAGACUUCUUCUUCUUCUUCUUGGUAAUCCUCCCCUGCAAUUCCCAUUAAAGUCUCUGUUUUAUUAGCUAUUUUUUUUUCUCAGAGAUGAAACAAAAUAAUAAAAGGGUUUAAGAUUCUUACCGUUUCUUUAUCACUUUCCAUGUUAAUUUCACUGACGAGAUCUUUUCUUUCUCCUGCAAAAUGAGCACCCUUGUUCUUAGCUAUGAACCAGUAGUUUUUGGUUCCAAGUGAGACUACUCUGUUUCUUUGGUGGUCCUAAACAUUAAACUGAGAUUUAGUAAGAGAGAGAGAGAGAGAGAGAGAAUUUAAGAUACCUGGAGGCAAAGACUUUUCUACAUGGCCGGAGACUGGUCUCGCCGGAUAAUGUUGCCGGUAAAACACUUGAAGGAUCCCAUUCAUGCAUCCAAACUGUUUAUUUAGAUUUGGAUUCUCAUCUGACAAGUUAUACAGAAGUUUUGCAGACAUAUCUUCUUCUCAAAAAGGAUAACUAAAUAAAAACGAAAUUUCACAAUCUUUCAUAUACUCUGCUUUUGCAGUUACCAAUUUCUUCUUCUUCUUAAUCUGUUAUAGAUUUAACGGUUCUUUUUUCGGGUUUCAGGAGAAGAAGAAAUGAAGAAAGUGACAAGAAGAAGCCAACAUUAAGGACAACCUAUAGCUUCUUGUGAAGUUAUGACCAGACAACAGAUUAGCUUCUUUCGUUUUUUGCUUUGGAGGCUACCUUGAAGAAGAAAGAAGGGAAGGGAAAAAGAAAGAGUUUCUAUCGGUUGUUCAGAAGAAAAAAAGAGGUUUCUAUCUUUAAAGGCACAUACAACUGUCAAAGGGAGCUUUGAGCCUUUGAACCAUAUAUAAUGUAAUGAAUGUACAUGUGUUCACAUGUAAGUUUAGACAUGUGAGAACUUUAUUUCUUUAGUAUAUUAUACCUACUAAUCUUAUAUUCUUUUAUUGUUUAGGAGCUCUGAAAAAUUCUGCUUGGCACAUGAAGAGGAAUAUGGUUCAUCUCUUAAGAUGAAAGUUAUGCACAUGAGAGCAUAAGGCUUACUUAUUAUACAAAAAAAAAAGGAAAGUAAAUGAUUUUGAAGUUCUAAAAAUUUUGGUUAUACUUUGGAUAUAUUAUAUGCAAUGUUAUGUUCACUUUGUAUGUUUGUUGAUUCAUCUUAAUGUGCUGGUGUAAAUUAGUUAGCCGAUAUUCAGCAGAAAACAAAAAGAGUUAGUUGAUGCAUAGUUUAAUAAUAAUAAUCCAAUAUUAGUUAAAAUUCAAUAUUAUGAAAAAUGUAUUUUAAAAAACUAUCUCAGCAGUCAUUGAACAUUUUUAAUCAAUUAGACUUGAUAUUAUUCACUAUUAUGUUAUAUGUAGUUAACUAUGUUUUCAGAGCAUGAAAUUUCUGAUAUAUCAGAUAACAUUUUAUAUUUUAAUCACCACAUGCUAUUUUUGUUUGAUCUCUUACACCAAAUCUCCAACUCAACUGUAAAACACUAUUUUCGUGUGAUUUUUACACCAAAUCUUUUCCUAUGGAACUACAAAAAUCACAUCAUUUUAGUGCAAUACUAAAAUUUGACAUCAAAUUUGAUGUGAUACUAUUCAACACAUUAAACACUAUUCAUCCCACUGAAACACUAUUUAUUUAUUUUAUUACUAAAACAUACAAUUAAAUAAAUGAUAAAUAAAAAACUUAAUACAUAUAAUAUUAUAAAAUAGUUUUAGUGUGAAGUUUAGUGUUAUGGUUGGAAAAGAUCUUGACUUUAGUGUUGAAAUUACACUAAAAUAAUGUGGUUUUGAUACUAAAAUAGUGUUAGUAGUUGGAGAUGCUUUAGUAAUAACAAUAUGAAAGAUAUAUAAUUUUAUGUAUUAUUAGCUGAUUUUUCCUUACACAUCCAUGUGAACAAAAUAAUGAAGGUGGGUCAUUCUAAGCCUUGGUGGCCCUUUACAUCUGCAUGUGGAGUUUGUCAGAAACACACAGCAUAUUUUAAGAAAUAAAUCUAUUUAUCUAAAAGGAUAAGAGAAAUUAUUAUAAUGGCAGCAUAAAAUCAAAAUAAAUUAUUAUGAGAGGAAGUGGAUUGGUGAACUGGACGAAAGCUUGCAUGGUCUGAGAUUGGUGGGUCUUACAGGUAAUUGUUCAACCAUAGAUUUUCGUCCUUAUUUAUUGUUUUUGCCGAGGAACAAAGAUAAUAUUUACGGAUUGAAGAUGAUUUAUAUGGAAUACUAUUGUUUUUUUGAAUCUUAAAUAAUAUUAUUGUUGAUGUAGAGAUUUCAAUAGUUACCGAGAGACUGAUGCAUAAUAAUGUAUAUGCACGUAAAACUGGUAGAGCAAAAUGAUGAAUUGAACUAAUGAAUCGUAGGUAUAUGUAGUGAAUGAUGAUCUAUAUGUCAACUUUGAAAAAAAAGGGAAAAGAUCUAUGUUUUGUGGACAUUCCACAAGUAUUAUCAACAGUUCAUUGCUUUCUGGUUAUUAACAAAUCAGUUUGUUGCUUAUUAUUUAAAAUCAUAGCAUAAGAUGAUGUGAAGUAUUAAGAAUAUGGCGUAUAAAAUGAGGUAGAUAAGCAUUAUAUAUUAAAGUCGUCGUCUUUUAGUUUUUGUUUUCUUUGAUUUGAGGGUUUAUGUCCCUAGAUGUUCUAAUCACAGAACCAUGUGGGCAUAUCACGUGCUUUGUUCCACAAUGUGCUAUGAAGGUGGGGCUCGUGACAUCUUAAUCUAUUUAAUUUAUUUUUCUUUAUUUUAAAAAGAAAUUUCUUUAGCUCACAUGAAAACAAAUUUAAUUGAUUUGACACUGAAAGUACCAAUGAAUAUACUAUUUAUUCAUGAGUAUUAAUUAGUUUUUUUUUUUUUUUUUUUUUNNNNNNNNNNNNNNNNNNNNNNNNNNNNNNNNNNNNNNNNNNNNNNUUUAUUUUUAAUUUUUUUUUUUUUUUUUUUUUUUGUAACUUGGCCAGUAUUAAUUAGUUUUGGUUUCAAAUAUUGUAACAAUCAAUAUCAAUCGCGCUACUUCUUCUUCUUCUUCUUUUUUUUUGUUGUUGUAAAUUUCCAAUAUUUCUGUUUAUAAAUGUGUUUUCAUGAUAUUUUAGUUUUUUUUUGCCUUAGUAGCAAUUUUUGAUUAACAACUGACUACAGCGUAAGAUAACAACUUUUCAGUGUGUUACGAACGAGAGAACGUGGAUACAAAGUUAAAGAGGAACCACCAAUUUUGGGAAUAAUCAAUUUUGUUCCAAGUUGAUAUAUAUCUCUACUAUAUAUGCAUACAUAUGUAUCGUGUACUGAUGAGAGAUUUUUUUUUUUGGUUCAAACCAACUUUCAUUAAUAAAACUUAGACUCCAUCGAUGGAGAAACUUUUCAACAGACACAAUAACACAGCCACAUUAACUAAAUAAACCGCUGCAUCAAAAGCAAAGCGGAUAACACAAACAUAGAUAAAAACAAACAUAACACACAAGCAACUUAAAAGUGAAACACCAUGAGUGCUAUUGAGUGAGAUGAAGCCACGGAAAUUGGAGAACACGUUCAGUGAACUGCUACCCGAACAUACUGCAGCAACAAAUGCAUAGAAAGCAGCAAGAAACUUGGCUACAGAGGUGAUCAAGCACCAUCUUGAUGAGCCUUGAAAUUGUGAGGAAAUCUGCAACCAUAAUGAGAUGUAGAGUUGCAAGAACCACCACGGCCAGACAAACAAGUCUGAAACUACGAAGCCAAGGUUGGUUUUUUUAAAUCCAUCGCUUAUCUUUUUGAGUUGUAGACCUGAAACAUCAGAGAAGACUACCAACACACAAAUAUAUUGUAAUAAGCCUAAAAAGAUAUUUCGAACAACAACCUCAUGCCGAGGUAAGUGAACCUCAUACUGAGGUAAGUGAACCUCAUACCGAGGUAAAGGAAGGCAAACCAAGUGCCUAACAGCUUUGUACUGAGUUAAACAAUGACUAACAAGAAGCAUAAGGUCCUCAUACUGAGGUAAUGGUCGUGAAUAGUUUCUUAUAUGGAGGACAAGGAAUCCAAAUCUAAGGUAUGUUUCAUCCCAAAUAGAAACAUCUAGACGGAUCACAAGGGUCAUACCUUUCCAAGUUAUGCCUAAGAACAGGAAGAAAAACGAAUUUUUCCCAUAUGAAAUUAUAGAUCUGAAACCUGUAACCAUCGGUAGAGAGAAGCAGAGGCUUGACAAGGUUCACUCCAAGAGAAACAAUCAGCAAACAGACUGAGUCGGAUGUUGUUGUACAAUGAAGAGGAGACCUCGCAGCUGCUAAGGUGAAACAAUGGCAGGGGAAAGAGGACAGAUCCAGUGCGACGAGAGUGAAAGAAGCGUCGAGAGGAUCAGGACGGUCGGGAGCAGAGACCACAGCGAGUAGAUCUAGAGAAAAACAAAUGGCGGUGGUUCAGGAGGUGGGGGAAGGAGCAACAAUGACUCUGAACCCCGAAAGAGUGGCAUCAAACCCAUGGAAAAAAGGAAGAGGAGGGAGACAGAAGAGGUUCUCACCGCUGGGCGAGAGGCCACAUCGACAGCGGCAGAUUAAAGCAAAAAACCCUAAUCGCUUUGGAGUCGCAUAGAGAGAGAAACGACUUAUAUACUGAUGAGAGAUUUUUCAUUGAUGAUAAUAUGUUAGGUUGUAUAAAGUUUUUUUUUUGGUUUGUGGGCUCAGCUCCACCUCUUGGGUUCGAUCAAUGCAGAGAGAAAAGAAAGAGUGAUGAUACUAUGAUUAACAUGUGUAUAAAAUUUCAUCUAUGCAUUAAAACAACAACGCAAAAAGACAGUGUUGUCAGAAUGUUGAAUUGUUAACUAAUUUGGAUAAAUGAGAUAAUCAAGUAAUUACCUAAGGAAAACUUAUAUGGCAAAUAUUAUCUUAAAAUGAACGGUUUUCAUCAGUCAUAUAACAUACUUUAUUUGCUAAGUAAGCUAGAGUAUAUGAAAUACCAACUCCAUAAGAAGAAAUUAUAAUCUAUAAUUUCGUAAUCGAAGAAAAAUAAAUGACAUGCUUCACUCUCAAUUUUUUUGUAAGUAACAUUUUAGAACUGUUAAUAUAGAUUAAAAGUAUAAAAAGUAUAUUUAUCUUUUAUAUACUUCCUCCAUCCAUAAAUUGUAAUUUUCAAAUUUUCACUUUAUUUUAAAAAUAGAAUUACAAUAUAAAAAUUAUGAUAUUCGAAUUUUACAUUAACAACACAAAACUGCUAUUUUUAUGAAAUAAAUAAAAAUAUCAAAACUACUAAAUUCGUAAAAUAAAUAAAAUUUUAAAUAAAAUAUUAUUUCCCCUGUUUCAAAUAUUACAAAUUUUAAAUUUUCACACAUAUUAAUUAAAUAUAUUUUAUUUUAUUUAUAAAUGCAUAUUUUGUUAUUAUCUAUUUCAUAACUGUAAAGUAAUAAAAAUUAAAAAAAUUAAUAUUUUUAAAGUGUAUAAUUAAUCAUUGUCAGUUGAUAAGAUUUUUUUUUACAAAAAUAUGCAUCUCUAUGAGACUGAUAAAUAUUAAAUUAUUAACUAUCUAUCUAACUACAAUUAAACAAAUAACUAAUUUGGAGAAAAAAUGUUUUAUAAAAAGUCAUUUAUUGAAAAUCUAUAAUAUAAUAGUACAGUUCCAUCUUUUCUGAAGCGACACGUUAACAUUUUGGUGGAUCCCACUUUUAAAAAGAGUAAAAAAAGUGUCAAGCCUGUGGUUCAAACCCGGGUUAUUGAGAUAUAAACACCAACAUUUAUACCAUUAAACUAAAGGAUACUUUGUACAUUGAUGGCCGAAACUAAUAUAUAUUUAUGAAGGUCGGAAACCUUUGCUUCUUCGGUUUUCUCUGUGGGCCGGCCCUACAAGUGUAUUAUGAGUUUCAUUUUAAAUUGAGGUUCAUCACGUUAUAUGAAAAAAACAACAAUUAUAGUUUUUCCAUAUUGUAAACUGUCUUCGUUUAACACGAGUUAGGGUUCUUUUCAUCAUUGUCUCAGACAAGUCUGAGUUACAGAGUUGCACCGUGUGUCUGUUCGUAAUCUAUUUUUUCACCGGCGAACUCUUCAUCUCCCCAUCUUAAAUCUAUUGAUCUUAAAUGUUCCUGAUCUGUAGCCUUUAUGUAAACCAUAUAUGUAUGAUUUUCAUCUUUGAUGAACCCAAUCUGCAUCUCCACAAAACUCAUUGAUUCUUCGGUUUUUUCUGUGGGCCGGCCUUACAAGUGUAUUAUGAGUUUCAUUUUUAAAUGAAGUUCAUCACGUUAUAUGUAAGAAACAACAAUUAUAAUUUUUCCAUGUUGUAAACUGUCUUCGUUUAACACGAGUUAGGGUUCUUUUAAUCAUUGUCUCAGACAAGUCUGAGUUACAGAGUUGCACGGUGUGUCUGUUCGUAAUCUAUUUUUUCACCGGUGAACUCUUCAUCUCCCCAUCUUAAAUCGCUUGAUCUUAAAUGUUCCUGAUUUGUAGCCUUUAUGUAAACCAUAUAUGUAUGAUUUUCAUCUUUGAUGAACCCAAUCUGCAUCUCCACAAAACUCAUUGAUUCUUCGGUUUUUUCUGUGGGCCGGCCUUACAAGUGUAUUAUGAGUUUCAUUUUUAAAUGAAGUUCAUCACGUUAUAUGUAAGAAACAACAAUUAUAAUUUUUCCAUGUUGUAAACUGUCUUCGUUUAACACGAGUUAGGGUUCUUUUAAUCAUUGUCUCAGACAAGUCUGAGUUACAGAGUUGCACCGUGUGUCUGUUCGUAAUCUAUUUUUUCACCGGUGAACUCUUCAUCUCCCCAUCUUAAAUCUAUUGAUCUUAAAUGUUCCUGAUUUGUAGCCUUUAUGUAAACCAUAUAUGUAUGAUUUUCAUCUUUGAUGAACCCAAUCUGCAUCUCCACAAAACUCAUUGAUUCAUCUUAGCUUUAACGAUCUUCUAGAAAAUGUCUCUCUGCCUCUCCAGUUCCUCAAACCGGCGUUCCCAGCAUCCGUCACUCAACCUUCGAGUGUCUCCGUGUGGGUCGUAGUAGUCAGAGCAUAGCCUCUAACCUCCUCGCUUAUGGGAUUCCCUGAACUUCAAGAAAGACAGUGAGUUUAUGGGAAUCAUGAUUCUCUUCCUUGAUGAAAAAGUAAGUUAAUCUUCGAUUUAUCACACUUAUUUAAUAAAAUUGUUUUUAAUUAAUUUUCUGAUUCUUUGUUAAAUAAUAUUAUUUGCAGAUUCUGUGAUUCAUGAGUUUAUUCCCGCCGAACGUGCUAAUCAUUACAUGCCAUCUUUGAAAGCCGGUUCCAUUGUGAAAGUCGAUUGUUUUGAGGUUGAUAGGUGCUCAAGCUUGUACAAGAUAAUUCAUCAUCCAUUCCUCAUUUGUUUCAUCUCACCAACUAUUAUUGAUGAAGUCAUCACGGGUACUCCUGAGAUCAAUCUCCAAUCAUAAUUAGACUGUUUGACAAUUUCCAAGUGAUUGCGGACACAAACCUAGAACUCCCAGGUAUAUUAUCAUAUUGCAUCUGGGUUUAUAAUAUGUUUCGUUAUUAUAACUGAUAUUUAAACUCGCAGAUGUGGUUGGCCAAAUCCGUUCUAUCCAAAGCUCUGACAUUAGCAAAGAAACAACUCGAGUCAUUAUCUGUCUUCUCAUUGAUCCGUAAAAAACAAUCAACACACAAUUUCCUUUAUAUUAUUAUCUAUAUUGUGCUAACAUCAAUAAUCAAAACCUACCCAAAUUUUGUGGUCGUCAAUUUAUCUCCCUUACUUAUCAAACUAAUUUUACACAAACCUUUAUUUUACAGUUUAAAAGAAACCACAACAACCCAAACAAUCAAAACACCAAAAUCUAGAAUUCCAAAAAAGACGAAUCAUUAAUGAUCACCUCUUUUUUUUUUUGUCUAAUCUUAGAAAUAAACUUCAAAACAAAUAUACCAAACCAAUCACCUCAACUAAAACUCAACGACACAUACAUCGAGUCAGCUAAAUAAAUACAAACUACACGGCCAGCUAUUUAACAAUUUACAAACUUACUUUCACAACGAAGAAGACGAAGACGGCAACCAAGAUCAGUGAAAUUACCUAAACAAAAAAGGCAGGGUAAGUUAUGAACUCUGAUAAAUACAACUAAUAAUGAUUUUUGUUUACAUAUUACCCAUCAAAUAAAAGAUAAACAAACACAGCCACAACAUGAGAUACAAGAGACAAUCCCGACAGACACAAAUGCGGCAACAACAUCUCCACCUGCUCACUCCUCUUGUCUUAUAAAAAUAGCUUACAUGUCCAAUGUCAGCACAUCAAUGCUAUUGUCUUCUUAUGAGAAUUACAUAAAUUCGUUUAAAACUCAUUAAAGCCCAUAUACUCAGAACUGUCACUCAUUUUAUAGUUAUUUCUAUAAGUCUUCAUGUAUUUGUUUUAAAAAUAAAAUAAAAACAUAUAACAAACAUAAUAAAGAUAAUAAAAAUUAUUACUUAAUACACACAACUUACACAGCUAAACUGGAGAAAAAAUAUCCAGAAACAAAAGGUACUCUCAACAACUUUAAUAUAAUUUAUAUAAUCUCAACAGUACAAGAAACAAAUUAAAAAGACAAACAAACAAUAAGUUUCAGUGACACAGCAAACAACAACACGAACUAUAUCAAUCACAUUACUAACACAGUUUAAUUUUUCAUAAGUGGAGAACAAUGCAUACACAGUUCAUCAUCACAACUCUAACCCUAUAACAAUAAAAAAAAACUUGAAAAACAACUCAAAACGCAAAAUUCACAACUACAAUAACCCUAGCAAAUAUUGAGAUGAAACAAUAACUCUGUCUACAACUUGCGCUUGCGCGAUGGCAAUGUUCCUAGUCAAUUUAAAAGAUCAGUGUAUAUCCUUUUACGUUAAGUUUCAGAGUUCAGUUCAUUUAGUUCAAUUAUUGGCACAUGAUCCCACCCGUCAUCACCCACCCAUCUAACAUUUGUUUAGUUUCAGCAUUAAUUUAUGUAGGGUUUCUCUCCUUUAAAUGUUCAUGCAUGAGUUAACUUUUUAUCGUAUGGGAAAGGAAUGAAUAGUUCUUUUAUCACUUACUAGAUUUUUUAACCGCGCUACGCGCGGAUAAGAUAUUAUAUGUAUUUCACAAUUCUAAAAAAUAAUAUAUAAUAUUGUAUUAUAUUAUUUAAAGAAUAUAAAAUAAGACUACAUAACAUAAAUAUAUUUUUUAUUUUUUCUUUGUGAAAAUCAUUAUGUUGUUUGAUUGUUGUACUUAAUUCACAUAUUUGCAUAGAUAUUUGUGAUAGAUGAAUAACUAUAUUUUUAUUAUCAGUAAAUAAUAUAUAUUUAUUAUAUAAUAUAAGAAAAUUGAAAUUAUUUACUUUUUAACAAACUUGUCUCAUGUUGGGGACUCGGUUAUAGACAUAUCAUAUUCGAAUGAUACAUUUUUACACUUAUCAAUCUUCUUAACAAUUAAGAAACAAAUCUAAUCUUCUUAACAAUUAAGAAACAAAUCUGAAUAUCAAAACAAUAUCUCAUACGAUCUCUUUGUGGAAUAACUGCUCUGAAGAAAUUGAAUUUAUGCAUCAAAAAAGACUGAAAAUGGAUGUGCAUAUGUGUUAUUUAAGUCAGUUUUAAAAAAAAAACUAUUUAUAGUUCAUAUAUCAUUUAUGUCCAUCCUAUUUUUUUGUCCAUCAUUUCUUAAACAUCUUGAAAUAAGUAAUGCUAAUUAAUAAUAAACUUUUUGCUCACAAAAUAAAAAUCAAAUUUGUUUAAUUAUCGCUUAAUUUGUCUAACUGAUAUAUGUAUUUCUCAAUUCUAAAAAAAUAAUGUAUAAUAUUGUAUUACAUUAUUUAAAGAAUAUAAAAUAUGACUACAUAACAUAAAUAUACUUUUUAAAUUUUCUUUAUGAAAAUCAUUAUGUUGUUUGAUUGUUGUACUUGAUUCACAUAUUUGCAUAGAUAUUUGUGAUAGAAGAAUAACUAUAUUUUUAUUAUCAGUAAAUAAUAUAUAUUGAUUAUAUAAUAUAAGAAAAAUAAAAUUAUUUACUUUUUAAAAAACUUGUUUCAUGUUGGGGACUCGGUUAUAGACAUAUCAUAUUCGAAGGAGACAUUUUUACAGUUAUCAAUCAUCUUAACAUUGAAAAAACAAAUCUAGAUAUCAAAACAAUAUCUCAUAUGAUCUACUUGUGGAAUAACUACUCUGAAGAAAUUGAAUUUAGGCAUCAAAAAGGACUGGAAAUGGAUAUGCAGAUAUUUUAUCUAAGUCUGCUUCACAAAGUACUAUUCAUAGUUCAUAUAUCAUUAAUGUCCAUCCUAUUUUUUUGUCCACCAUUUCUUAAACAUCUUGAAAUAACUGAUGCUAAUUAAUAAUAAAUUUUUGCUGGAAAAAAAUCAAAUUUGUCUUAUUAUCACUUAAAUAUUUUAUUAAUAUGGUCUAAGAAGCUUUUAAGUGAUAUCAUAGUUUAAUUUAUUAGUUUUUUUGUUACUUUUUAGAGGUUUUUGUAUUUAAGAUUUUUUUUUCAUAUUAAACUUCUAUUUCUUUCACAGAAUUGAUAUAUAUAUAUAUCAUAAAAAUUACCAUCAAAUCAGUUUUACUUAUUUAUUAUUUUGUUUGAACGAAAAUACACUUUUUAAAUAAUUUAAUUUAAAAUAUAAUUAUAUAUUAAUUUGCUGUAUUUUAACAAUUUCAUUGAUUUAAUUAAUUUGCUUUGGUGGAUAACUUAAAAAGUUUUCAUAUGAAUCUGGGAAAGCAAGCUUAUGUUGUUAUAUUAUAUUUAUUUUGUGUAUAUAGAAUCUAUAUAUAAUGUUAGUUUAAUAAAGAAAGAACAUUAUUUUUUUUGUAACUUCAAAAAGAUACAUUAUUACAAUUUGAAAUGAAUCAAAAUUGAAUAAAAUGGUAAUUAAAUAUUUGUAAAUCUAAUUGUUUAGUUGGAUUCUCAUGAAAAAAAAAUCGAUUGGUUAAACAAAUGUUUUAAAAAAAAUUGUGGUAUUUUUUUGUCUAUAAAUUAUAAAUUUAUUGAAUUAAUAUAUUUAAUUAUUGCAUCCUUAAAUAAUAUUUUAUUAAGACAUUAGAAAAAUAUGUUUUGAGUUGUUUUGUCAAAUUGUACAAAAAUCUAUGCUUUUUCAUAUUUGUAACUUCAAAAAGAUACAUUAUGACAAUUUGAAAUUAAUCAAAAUUGAAUAAAAUGGUAAUUAAAUAUUUGUAAAUCUAAUUAUUUUUUUUAUCUUGUUUAGUUGGAUUCUCAUGAAAAAAAUCGAUAGGUUAAACAAAUGUUUCAAAAUUUGUUGUGUUAUUGUUUUGUCUAUAAAUUACAAAAUUUAUUGAAUUGAUAUAUUUAAUUAUUGCACCCUUAAAUAAUAUUUUAUUAAGACAUUAGAGAACUAUGUUUUGAGCUGUUUUGAAUAUAUUUAAUUAUUACACCCUUAAAUAAUAUUUUAUUAAGACAUUAGAGAAGUAUAUUUUAAUUGUUUCCUAUGCUUUUUCAUAUUUGUCACGAAAAUUUAUAUGUUAAACUUACUUUUACAAAAUUCUUAACUUUGUCACGAAAACAAAAAUCUAUGCUUUUUCAUAUUUGUCAACGUUCUCACACUUUCUAAGAAUAUAUUAGCUUAGUCACUUACUUAUUUUUUUUUUACAAAACAAAGUAUCGGAGUCUUGAAAGUUGAAUUUAUAUUAUUGUAAAUGUACAUAAGAGUUUGUGAUUAUAUACUUAGUGGUUCUUGUAUAUGUGUCCAAGAAUGUUUCAAUGGCUUAGUGGUAACUGUCCUAUAUAUAUAUCAUACUAACCCGGGUUCGAUUCUCACCUUCGCAUUGUUUUUUUUAUUUUUUACGAAAAGUAAAUGAGAUGACAUGGCAAUUUCGGGUUCUCUGAUUGGUUGAUUUUUCUAUCCUAUGUGGACACCCUCUCCAAGGCUUAUAUCCCCCUUUUAGUAUAGUAUAGAUCUACAAUUACUAAUUGAAGUUCUUGACAAAUAUUUAUAAAGAACCUAACGAAUCACAAUUCUUUUUUUUUUUGUUGGGACAAACCUAACGAAUCACAAUUCUAUGUGAAUUUAUUAGUACUUGUUUUUGGCUAUGCCUUCAUAUUUGACGACAUCAUUUGGCGUAUAGUCAUCAAUAUAUGAAUAUAAUUAUUUUUAGUAGUUAUUUUUUUUUAAUAAUGUACAAGCUUAUAGGAGUAUUUCCUAUUAGUAUUCGUAUAGAACGGUGUAGUAUUCGUAUAAAACGGUGAAAUAUGUUUUUGAAACUAUACAUCUCUUAUCAUUUAGAUAGUUAAGUAAACGAUAAGCUAAGUCAAGAUUCCUUUCUUCAUCAUGAUUAUAAUAUCUAUUGUAAUUCAAUGUCACAUGCGACGGAUCUGAGAUUACGGAAGACAAAAUAUAAUUAAAAAGUUCCAGUAUCAGUCCCUUUUUAUGGUCAUCGCUUAUCGAUCAGACUUAAACAUGACGAUGAUCUUGGUUAACAUUAAAAAACAAAAAUGUAAAAUUUAUUCAAUGAUUAUUGUUAAAGCAUUUUUUAUGAAAAAGAUGACUAACCUAUUUUUUUGGUAAAUUAAUUAGUACGACGUAAUAUCUGAUUAUCACUUUGAUAUUCCCCAUGGCAUCCAUUACUUCGUACUUCGUAACUAAAUCUUAGUAUUCAAGAUACAUGUUUUCAGUCGGUAUCUAAACCAUAACUAAAGCUCACAAGUUCAUGUACCUUGGAGUUUGUUAGAUUCUUUGGAGAAAAUACAUUUUGUUUAACACAUGCGAAAAAGGAUAUGGAACCUUAAUAAUAUGAAAAAGAAAAUGCACAAUCACUUUUACAUAAUGGGCGUACAACUGCGAAAGGUGAGGCAUGGAAACCAUGCAAGUAUCUUUCUCCGCCAAGAAAAUGUUUAUUUUCUAUGUUAAUAUUCAAAAUGAGCCCAUUUCAACAUUAUUAUUAUUAUUAUUAUUAUUACUAGAUCGUUUUCCGCGCUACGCGCGGAUAAUUGCUUUUUAAAUAUUACAAUUAAUUUUGUUGUGUGAAUAUAAAAUAUUACAGAAUUAUCAUAUGUAUAUAAACUAUGUACUAUGUAGGAUAUAGUAUAUGAGAGGAGACAUGGUUUAUUUAUUUUCUCAAAGUUCUAUAUAUAGAUCUUCACAUUUUUGUAGUAAAAUACUUUUAUUAGUUUGCAAAAUUUCCAAACUUGAGUUUAGAAUAAAAAACAGCAUGAAUGAUGUCGAAAGUUGUUCUUAGAUGUGUUUCCUCGAUUGUUAUCUUUUGAGCUAAGGUGUAGAUGAGAGGUGUAGCUCUAACUCAUAUCUUGAAUCUACUCUUAUCUUUUCUUUGAAGUCGUUAACGAUUUUUAUUGUCUUGUUAAAUAAAAAUGUGCGGCCUAUCAUGAGAAAAGAAUUAUAUUUCUUGUUAAUAAGGUUUUUAAUCAGUAGGUAUUAGACAUUCAAGUUUUUAUUUGUUUUUACCUUUAUAUAUUGUAGGAAUAGUGUUUGUUACCACAACAACUUUAUAUUUUUGAUUAUUUAUACUUUAUAGAUCCCUCAAUAGAAAUGUUUAAUUGUUCCGUAAUAUAUAUUUAUAUAUAUAUAUAUAUAUAAUAUUUAAGAGCUAUAUGUAUAAUUAAAUAUUUAUUUUAAAGUAUGUGCAUGCCUCUCCAUUAAUUUUUAAAAAUAAAAUAUUUAAUUUAAAUAAUUAAAUAUUUUAUAUUUAACUAUAUAAUAUAUUUGACUAAGUAAAUUAUACGAUGAAGUUAUAAAUAUGGAAAUUAAAGAUUGAUUGUUAAUCCCUUAUAUAUUAAAAGAGAAGCAUUACCACAUAUUUUUGUAGCCACAUGUCAUCACCACAAUCAUUCUUAGAAUCCUUAGAAAAAUAUGUUGGUCCAUAUAAAUAUAUAAUAAGCUUUUUAUUAAACUAACCAUAAAUUAAUCAUAAAUGUUCUUCAGUGUUUCCUUAAAUAAAAAUCACGGAAUCACCUAAUGUGACUAAAGUUUAUAUGACAAUUAAUAAUUUUGAACAAUAAAGAUUUGAUAAAAAUUAGUCUAUUCUCUAUCAUAUUUUAAAAUUUUUAAACAACCACAUUAACUAUAUAAUAAAAAAUUUGAUUUUUUCCUAUAUGUUAUAUUUUGAAUUUUUCAAAACGAAUAUAAAUGACUAAAGUUGUUAAAAAUCCCACAUUUUAAUUUUUGUGAUCCAUGGAUUAAAAUUUAUGUUAUAACAAUAUACAAAUGAUUAUGAAAUUAAAUAAGUAGAAAGUGUCAUUUAAUAAAUAUUAUAUAUACAUAUGUAUAUUAAUAUUAAAAAAAAUUAUAUACCAUAUAAAAUACAUAAGUAUUUUAAUUUCAAAUUUGUUUUGAAUUUUUUUGAUAAACAUUUUGAACAUAUUAACAACUUAAUAUUUAGAUUUUAAACUUUGCAUUGAAUGUUUUUAAAAUUAUAAAUUACUAAAACUAUUAAACAUCCCACAAAUUUUUUAUUGUUAUCAUUGAUUUAAAAAAUUUGUUAUAAAGAAAUACAAAUGAUCAAAAAUAAUAUGAGUAUAAAAUAUUUUUUAACAGAUGUCAAUAUUAAAAAUGUACUAUGUAUCUAUGUUAAUAUCAUUUAAACUUAAUUUUAUACCAUAAAAAUAGAAAAAAAAGUGUUUGUGUGGAUUAAUAAAUUUUAUUUAAGUAUUUGUACCAAUUUAAUUAUAUACGUAAUAGUUACUAAAUUUUUAAUUAUUUAAUAUAUAUAUUAUUUCAUAAUAUGUAAAAAAAUAUAUAAUACUUAAAAAUAAUUUAUAUAUAAUAUUCAUUCCACGCAAGGCGCGGGUCUUAACCUAUAUAAGAAGUAAAUUUGGGAUAGUAAGUACUAAGGAAUAUAAAUACAAAGUUAAGUAAACUUAAUUAUGCUUCAACUCUGCCUCAGAUAAAUUGAUUUUUUAUUGGACUUGUAGCAUUACCUAACCAAACCAAAUUACAAACACGUUAACAAUUAAUGGAGAUUCGGCUGAACUUGUAUGCACUUAAUAAUCAAAACCCAAACGUAAUAAUCAAACCCAACUCGUAGGUGGGAAGGCCCAAACCUAUCCAAUUUCGUGUGCUGACGUGGAGAAAAGAACCCACCCCAUUGGAGGAUUUUCUGGUCCUAUGUGGACAGGCUCAUAGAGCUUGAUAUCUGCCUUUUAGUAGUGUUACGUAAUAGUUACUAAAUUUUUAAUUAUUUAAUAUAUAUAUUAUUUCAUAAUAUGUAAAAAAAUAUAUAAUACUUAAAAAUAAUUUAUAUAUAAUAUUCAUUCCACGCAAGGCGCGGGUCUUAACCUAUAUAAGAAGUAAAUUUGGGAUAGUAAGUACUAAGGAAUAUAAAUACAAAGUUAAGUAAACUUAAUUAUGCUUCAACUCUGCCUCAGAUAAAUUGAUUUUUUAUUGGACUUGUAGCAUUACCUAACCAAACCAAAUUACAAACACGUUAACAAUUAAUGGAGAUUCGGCUGAACUUGUAUGCACUUAAUAAUCAAAACCCAAACGUAAUAAUCAAACCCAACUCGUAGGUGGGAAGGCCCAAACCUAUCCAAUUUCGUGUGCUGACGUGGAGAAAAGAACCCACCCCAUUGGAGGAUUUUCUGGUCCUAUGUGGACAGGCUCAUAGAGCUUGAUAUCUGCCUUUUAGUAGUGUUAUUAUUAUUAUUAAUUGCUAUUAUUUAUAAUGUUUGAUUUUUCUUUUGAUAUAAUCACAUGGUGCGACCCAUGUUAAAUAGCUCAUUGUUACAAGUUACAAAAAAAAAAACCUCCCUUUGGUUUGUUCAAUACAACACUGAACAUACUUCAGCACCAAAAAGAAAAACGAUAUGCUAAAGUUCUAAGAAAUACUGGAAUCAUAUCUUCCCCCUUAUUCCAUGAGAUCAUCUACUUUGGAAUAAUUUUAAGGUCAUUCAUGCAAGAAGAUUUAUGUGACGAAGCGCAAAAUGAAAAGUAAAAGAGAGAUUCAAAGCCAUAUUGCUUUUUUUCUUCUUAUGUUCACAUGUCGUCAUUGCCAUAUUCCAAAAUCAAAUAAAAUCUUUAAAGAAGUUGACGAAUGAUGAUGAUGAUGGUACAUAUAUUCUGAUGAUGAUCAUCCUAAGUCAUGGGUUCAUACAACCGAAGUUCAGAAGAACCCCACUAGCGUACUAAAAUGUAUAAAUCUAUGUUUAAAAUGUUGUAUUUUAAUAUGUUUUAUUUAAUAAAUAAAUUAUAUUUUUAAUUAAAAAAAAUUCUUAAGAACCCUAAAUUAAGAACCUACCAUUGAAGUCAUUAAAACGAAAAGUUUCUUAACAAAACUUCUUAACCUAAAUCUAUUAAUUAAAAAUUAAUUAAGAACUCAUUCAGAGUUCUAGGGUUGUUUUUGCUCUUAGGUAACAAGUGCCAGCAUGUUUAUUGGAAGCUCUUAAGGGUGGUUCUUGAUAUAAAUGAGUAAUUAAAAUAAAUGAAAAAUGGCAAUUAAAUUAAAACGCGGCUCUUAAUUAGGGCAUGAUUAACUCCGGUCUCUUAGUCGGGGUUCUUAAUUCAUGAUUUGACAUUUUUUUUUACACUUUUCGGCUAAGAGAUGAAUCUUAUAUCUCAUAUUUAAAAGACGGUUCUAAGAAAAGUUAAGAACCGUCUCUUAUCUGAAGCUAAAAACCGUCUCUUAUCCGAAGCUAAGAACCCCAAUUAAGAGACUGGGGUUCAUCAUGGUCUUAAGCACUUGAAGGAACGGUUCUUCUGGAUGGAGCCAACUUCUAGCGUGCCCCAAAUGUGAAAUGCGAAAUCUCCUAUAGACUCCUAGAGUCUCCUAUGCCCCUAUUUCAUAAUUCUUUUUUUGAUCAAAAUCCAAACUCCCAAAUCAAAUCCUUCCCGGUCAUCAAAACUAAACCCUAACCCCCCCCCCCCCUAUAUGGAUUAGUGAACCUAUGGGCAAAUAUUUAAAUUCUAUACCUUUCAAAUUCAUCAUCAAAACUAAACCCUACCACCCCCCCCCCCUAUGGAUUAGUGAACCCAUGGACAAAUAUUUAAAUUCUAUACCUUUCAAAUUCAAAAAAAAAUAUUUUAAAAUCGUUUUUAAUCAUAUUUUGAUGAUUUUUUCGAAAAUAUGGAAAACAACGUUUUUGGAUUUUUGAAAUAUUUUUAUCAAAUUGUAUAAAUCAAUAAAAAAUAUUAACGUUUCCAUUUUAAUUUUAUGAUUUUUCGUUUGACAUAUAAAAUUAAAAGAACAAAAGGGUCCUUUUGAGAUUGUGUUAUGAGAUAUAGGGGUAUGAGAGGAUUUGUCUCUUCUGGAUGCGUGUUGAAUGGGCAUUGGAUAGUUUUUUUUUGGAGCAAAACAAAAGUUCAACUCGACAUCAGAUUUGGGUUGUAUCUUCCCGGAAGAUUUGUCGGACGUAGCCUCGACUAAGGCUUUGAUGAUGGCGGAGCUUGGCGGUUUCAGAAAGCGGAGAGAGGUUGUCGGCGACUUGACCGUAGUUAACUCCGAUAAAGGGCUCUGGAUCUGUACAUAAACAGAGUGUGACAAGUUUGUAGUUGAUAAUAUGAAAGAGUUUGCAUCUGAUCUUGAAAGAGAUUUAGACGAGCUGUGCAAGAAUGAGAAGCACCACACUCAGCUGAAAGAAGAAACUUUGUCUCAUCGAGAAGGAUGCCAGAAAACCAGGAGGAAGCAAAAGUGGUCAAAGUCUCGGCGAUUCAAGUUCAAAAUAAAUCCAGAGGAACAGUUUGGAAGUUGUUUGACGUUCUCAGGACAUAGCCUUAAAGAUGAUUGCACAGAGAAUGAAGCAUGGUUCAAAUAUAUAAAAACAACUUUGGGAAGAGGAGUUCCUUUCCAGAUUCUGUUGGAAAACUUUUAUGGAAAGAAAUUACAUGGUUAUAUGGUUCUAAUGGUGUUGGAACAAGUCACAGACAGAGAUACUCUUGUUCUGCAACACACUCCAUUCAAAGGAUUCAAGUUUCAACAUGUUAAGAAUGUGGAUUGGCUGAUUACUGUUUGUGUGUUAAGAUGGUUGCGCACAACUUCAAAGAAGGGAAAAGCUGAGAUAAUACAAAGAGAUUCUACGGAGAGCAAACCUGAGAAACUGCAGAGAACUUCAAAACAUAGGAUGUGCGUUAGCAAAUGCUAUAUCAAUGGCUCCAGCAAAUCCAUUGACCACUUUAUUUUAAGUUACUUACUUGUCUCUGUUUCUCUGUCUUUAUGUACCUCUGCCAUCAGGAGGCAUCCUCACUCCCAAUGGUCUUCAAAGUCUUGGUCUUUCUGGUUUAGGAUUAAGUACUGGUUUUGAGCGCCUGCAUUACAUGUAAGAGUUCAACUUUGUUAGUAAUUAUUUAUCAAUCAUCUCACAUGUUCUGUCUAAACCUUGCUUUCUUGGUUGAUCAUAGGUUGGAGAGAGUAUGGGAUCCUAUUUUAGUUCCUGGAUCACCAAAGCGUAUUAGUCACUUCUUCUUAAACGCUGUAAGAGAAUUGUUAGUCUCAGUGUAUUAUCUGUUCUAAAAAUGGAAUCAAUAGUCUGAUAUGGUUGGAUCUGUUUUGCAGUUUGAGACUUGGCAUUCUUUUGAUACAAAUCCACUUUUGGCAUUUUUUUUAAAAGAAACUACCAAUGAAAAACUAAUUUUAGAUGUUUCUUAACAUAAUCUCUUAACUUAAUUUUAAUACUAAAAUAUUGCCUAAGAACCCACUUAGGGGUUAUUACAAUGAACAGUCCGUAAACCACCAGACUUUCAAAGCCUUUGAUAAAUAAUAGAGGCUUCUUUUAACAAAAGCCCAAAAUAAGGCCCAUAAAGCCCAUUAUGGAUGACUUUUUCUUUUCCAUUUCUCACUGUGCACAUCCAUUAUUCCAUCUGUUGCUUCUCUUCCUAGAUUUGCAGCCAAUCAUAGAAGAAGACACUACGAACUACAAAAGAGGUAAAAGACCAAUCCUUUUUGAUCUGUCUCAAUACGCACAUGUCUUUAAUGUCUCAAUUACAAUACUAUUUAGAUCUCUCUUCUCAUCUAAGCAUCCGAUCUGACUGAAACAAACUUGGAAACAUAUUCAAAUCUUCAGAUCUCUCUCGAUGGGUAAAGCAAGAGGAGUGAACAAUGGUGUUAACCAAAGCUCUCUCGAUUACCUCUUUGGUUCCGGCGAGUCUCCUUCCGCCGUUGCGGCAACAAUGGGGACCACAACGACGACGACCACCACAACUACCACAGACGGAACCGGAGGGAGACCGGUGACGACCACGACGACCACGGUCACUGAGAAUAAGAAGAUACCUGCAGGUGUUAGAGGAAGUCCUAAUAAUUACUUCAGAUCAGAAGGCCAAAACUGUGGAAACUUCCUCACGGUAAAAGGAAUAGACUUUGUUACAUUUUCAGAUUGAAAAAUUGAAUCUUUUUAUUUGGAAACUGAUAAAAAAGCAAAAAAUGUGUGUGUGUUGUUGUUGGUUGACAACAGGAGAGGCCGUCUACUAAGGUUCAUGCUGCUCCUGGUGGAGGAUCUUCUCUUGGCUAUCUCUUUGGUGGACCAAGUUCUUCUGCUGAAUCUGCAAAGAAAUGAAGUUUGCUUUGUCUGGCUUUCCGAUUUGUAAAUCAUAAAAAAUGUGUGGCUAUAUCAUCCCCUCCAUCAAUUAAAACAUUGUGUGAUUCAUUGUGUUGGAGGGCAAUGUUUGAGUUUGAUCUGUUCUUGUGUGCUUGUAGACAUCUUAAAACGUUGUGUUUAUUUUUUUCCUAAGAAUUUCAAGAAAUAAACAAACAAACAAAAUAAUCAUAAUGAAACAAAACAAUGCUCAGCAAAAGGCAUUGAAUCAUCAUAGCAUUUUCACCAUCUACUUGUCGUGUAUGUGUUUCACUCAUAAGUCAUAACACUCAAUCCUGGCCGUUGGAUUUUCCUAUUGGUUAGCUAACCGUCCGUUGCUAAAACCGUUAAUUUUUUAUGAACCCGGUCCGGUUUCGGUUUAACAUAACCGGAAAAGAUAAAAUGUUAAUUAGGGUUUCUCUUUUUCUCUCUCGUCUCUUUUCUCUGCUCGGCUGGUGGGAAGAAGUUAUAGUUUCGAGUUUUUUGUUCAUCAGCGCCGCCGAGAGAAGAGCUUCGAGCUAAGCUAUGACGACGAUUGUUCCCACUUCCGAAGAAGAUCCGUUUCUCGCCGUCGUCCGAUUCACUUCCCAGCUCGCCUGGGCUGAUGCUGGUCCCGAGGUAAGAUCUGAUUAUUAACCGAUGACUGAUAGACCAGAAUAGUUUGAUUCUGAUUCAUAUGACAAAUUCAACCAUCCAAGAUUAGUCUAAUUGAGCUACUCUUCUAGGCUGCAGAGCCAGAGAUCACCAGGCUGUGUAGGGAGGCUGAGGAGUCUAUUGUAGCAGGAAAGUGGUUGGAGUUAGCUUCGUUAAUGGUAGCUUCAGCUGAAUUGGUUUCUCCCAAGAUCUCUGAGAAAGGUUUUUUGUGUUCUCUGUUAUAGCAAUAUGAUAAUGUUCAUCAUCAUCUCAUCAUUAGGUGUUGUUUUGUAUCUUUUGAUUCAGAUCUUGAGUGCACCUACACCAUCAUUUGCAGCCUUGUCAAGAAUGCGAAUAGCCCCGAGGAUGUUCUUGAAAUGGUUAAAGCUAUCUCCUCUAAGGUUGUUCAGAAACCGAGUGACAAAGCUUCACUCCGUUUGAAGAUGUAUGAUUCUUAAUAUGUUAACAUGUUUUACUUGUGAAUUACAUAUGUCUUACUGUUUUGGUUAUUUGUCUUUUGUUUAGCCUCUUCAAUCUCUAUAACCUUGUGGACCACCCGUAUGCUCGUUUCCAAGUGUACAUGAAAGCUCUAACACUGGCUGUUGAAGGGAAGGUUGCUGAGUACGUAGUUCCUUCUUUUGAGAAGAUUGAUAGCUUCUUGAAAGAGUGGAGCGUCGACACUAAAGAUCAGAGGCAGCUCUUCCUUGCUAUUGCUAACGUUCUGAGAGAGAACAAGAGGUACUGUAACAUAACCUUCUCGCCCUGGUUUCCUUUUAGGUUAUAACAAUACCCUCAUGAUUUUGUCCAGCUUGGUGAAAGAAUCCCUCAAGUUCUUGACGAAGUAUCUAGCGUCUUUCUCCAAUGAGGAUGCUCUGGAUGAAGCUAAGGAGGAGGCUGUGCGUGCAGUUAUUGAAUUUGUCAAGGCUUCCAGCAUCUUCCAGGUAUUCAUAAAAGCAUGACUUUAGUGGGAUGUGUAAGAUUCUCCUCGUAUAUUUCAUCAAUGAUUCUUUGUAAUUGCAGUGUGAUUUGUUGGACUUGCCAGCCGUAGCACAGUUGGAGAAAGAUGCUAAGUAUGCAACCGUUUACCAGCUACUUAAGAUCUUUCUUACUCAGAGGCUGAAUGCUUACAUGGAAUUCCAAGCUGCAAAUGCAGAGUGUCUGCAAACCUAUGGUACUAAAUUGUAAACCCGUUUACUGCUUUUUCCGUAAAAACAAUGUCCUGAAGAAUCCUACAUUUCUAUAUUUUGUGUUUCUUAGGACUUGUCGAUGAAGAAUGUGUAACGAAGAUGAGAUUGUUGUCACUGGUGGACUUAGCUUCAGAUGAAUCCGGCAAAAUACCUUACACCUCAAUUAAAGACACUCUACAGGUAGUUAACUCAGGAACUCUGAAAUAUUGUUAUGUUUUUCAGUUGCUUACUGUUUACUGUGUGUUCAGGUGAAGGAAGAGGAGGUUGAACUAUGGAUCGUUAAGGCAAUCACUGCUAAGCUGAUCGAUUGUAAGAUGGAUCAGAUGAACCAAGUUGUCAUUGUCAGGCAAGUUGCAUCAGUUGAAACUCUCUUACUUACAAGAUAAGUCUAUGUAUGCAUGCAUAUUCAUUGUUUGAUAGUAUGUUUCAUAUCUUUCAGCCGAUGUUCCGAGCGUGAGUUCGGGUCAAAGCAAUGGCAAUCACUUCGAACGAAGCUCGCGACAUGGCGGGUAAAUACGAAAACUUCACAUCUUCUUCAUAACAAAACAUCUCUUGAACCUGAUUCCUUUGUUUGUUCUUGUUAUGUGCUAGGAUAACAUUGGAAAUGUCAUAAGCACAAUCGAAUCGAACAAGGUAACCGAGGAAGGUUCUCAGGCAUCAUCAGCAUCUGCUGCAACAAUUCAAGGAUUGGGUGUCCGUUGAAAAGCUAUCAAGAUUCAUCUCUCAAAUUCAUAACCAACGUUAAAGAUCUCUUGUCUCCUUAAAAGCUUUCCUCUCUGUUUACUUGCUUGCUGAGUUUUUCAAUCUUUAAAUCUUUUUUUGUCCCUGAACAAUGCGGAGACUUUUGAUAUACAUUAUUUUUGGCUUAAUAACGUUUCUUGCUUUGAGAAUACGUAUUAUUUGCCUAUUAACGGUUAAACUGGGAGCAUACCUUUGCUAACUUCCUAAUCAAUAAGCAGGCGAAUAUGUAGCAACCGUUAACAACUGGAUGUAGUUAGUGCUGGGUUCGCGGGUCAACCCGCCCCGACCCGCCCCGCUCCGCCGCGGGUCGAAUCAUUUUUUCGAUUCAAAAACUCGAUCCGCAUAACCCGCAAACAAAAACUUUUAUAUCCGCCCCCGUCCCGCCAAACCGCAUAACCCGCAAACAAAAACUUUUAUAUCCGCACCCGUCCCGCCAAAACCCGCGGGUAACCCGCCAAACCCGCGGGUAAUAUUAAUUAUAUUAAAAAUAGUUAUUUUAAUUAAAAAUGAUUAUUUUCUAAUUAUAUAAUAAUUAUUUUAAUUAAAAAUAAUUAUUUAUAUAUUUAUAAUUAAAAUUAUAUAAAUAUUUAUUGUUUUUUAUAUAUUUUACGAAAAAAUGUUUUUUUUUUCAAAAAUGUUUUUUUUUUUUAAUUUGCGGGUUGGCGGGUACCCGCGAUUCAAAUUCGGCUGACCCGCACCCGCCCCGCUCAAAAUAAUCUCGACCCGCACCCGCACCCGCGAUUUAAAAAUUUCAAAUGGUUCGACCCGCACCCGCCCCGCGGCGGGUCAAACGGGGCGGGGCCCGCGAGCAAUGAUUAAAAUUUCCAGCUCUAGAUGUAGUGAGCAUGCUAAGAUCACAAAAGUGUUUUACGAGUUACGUCACUGGAGACCACUAGUGGCUGCAAGCCUGCAAUCUCUGUGAUGGACUUUCACUAGACCAAUCCAUCAGACAAAAAACUGCAUAAGGCCAUGGACCUUUUUGAAAGCGAUAAUGGCAUAUUUUCAAAAUGGGCCAGCCUAUUAAUUUAAAGCCCAUGCAUCAUAUCAGUAAUAUUUUUGAUAUUUUGUUUUGUUUGUUUGUUCCUCCAUCAGUUUCCAUAUUAAGUGUUGUUGUACGUUAAAACUUUUGUUACAAAAUAAAUAUCACCUUAGAAUUUUAAUGUAAAGUUUAUUUAUUUUGUUUUCUAUUUUAAUAGUUGAAAUAUGGUUAUAUGUAUAUGUAAUAAUUUUUUAUUAAUUGUAAAAUUAAAUGUAUAUUUUUAAUAUGUAUACACAAAUCUAAAACAAUGCUUAAAAUGAAACGAAAAGAGUUUAAUGCAUGUUUAAAUCGAAUUGUAUGCGUUUCCCUAGCUGACUUGCUUUUUUGUCUUCUUAUUCUUCCAGUUGGAUGUUCCAGCUUUUUAUGUGUAAUAAUUAUACGUUCUAAUUCAUGUAAAUAUUAUACGGAUUUAAAACAAGAUUUUUCACGAUGCAUGCAAUGAUCAUAUGCAACGUGCAUCAAACGAGCAGCCCACGACAUAUAUAUCAAAUUUCCAAUGAUCUAAUGGUUCUUUAGAUGUAAACAAGAAAAUAAUUAUACCUAUUGAUAAUAUUGUAGUCCGUUAAAAGCUAUGGAGUUCUACAGGAUAAUAUAAAGAAUUAGUGAAUAGUUAUUAUCCGUGUAUAGCAUAUACCAACUUGGCUAAACCCUCAAAAGAAUGUCAAACUUAAAAGAUAAUUUAAGGUAUAUAGCUUUCCACAUGCAAAUGUUCCUUUACUUUUUUAAUGAAAUGCAAAUGUUCCUUCGUUUCAUCGUAAAGUAGAAGACAGUUUUAAAUUAAUUAAUCUUUUCGUAUGAAGAAGCAAGCCUAUGUUUUCGUCAAAAAAAAAAAAAAAAGAAGCAAGCCUAUGUUUGCAUGUUAAUUGACACCUUUAUUGAUGUUACACUCCGGUCAAAAAGUAUUAACUAUUGUUCGGUUUUGUAUCCACCAUCUUUUAAUUCGCUCGCACACACGACUGUUUCUGUUUGUUAAAAACGCACACACAGUAGUGGAUGCAUUUAUGUUAAUAUAACUAAAUCAAACAAGAAAAGUUAUAAACCAAAAUUAAUUGAAAUCUAAAAUAUAUUUUUUAUAGCGUUAGCCAAACCUAGUAUAUAUUUUCAACUUUCCAAUUACUCGAAACUUUUAAACUUGUAUAGGUACAAAAUACAUUAAUGACAAACACUUAAAAUAUCACUAGUUUAACUAAACCAAAACCAAAACCAAAACCAAAUUAUGUGCUUAUCGUAAUUAUAACAAAUUUUUUUUAUCAAAACUAUCAAUAUUGUUUUUCCAAAAAAAAGCUCUUGUUUAUCAUUGGAAUUUUAGAAAUUAAUUUGACUGUAAAUAUCUGUAAUUUUGAAUCAAAACAAUUUAUUCUUAAACAUCAAAAUCUUAAAAAAAAAUCAUUUGACAAAUGUACUUCAAAACUAUAACUGUAAUAUAAACAGCUAAAUCUAAAGAGAUAUAUAUUUUAUAUGCUGAGUUAUCAAGUGAUAAUUAAUAAUAUUUUGAAUAAUAUGGAUAGUCUUAAAAGUAUCUGUUAGAAAGAUUCACAUUUAAUUUUCUGGAGAUUAAUACCAUAUAUUUUCUACACAAGAUGAUAACCUUUUGUAGUUAAUUAAAUAAUUAAAUAGUGAGAUAUUUGUAAACCAAUAAGACAAAUUCCCAUAGAAAACGGACAUCAAUAGACAAAAUAGAAAAGACUUUUGACAUUGAACGAGUCUUCAUCAACCACGUGUCAACUCUCACACAAAUACCUCGCACGUGCCGGAUCUGUUAUAAAAAUCAAAGCGAAGGUCAUCUCUUCGAGCCCAUCUCAGUUUUUCAAACGUACCCGAUCUCUCAAACCUCUCUCUCUCUCUCUCUCUCUCUCUCUCUCUCUCUCUCUUUCUCCAAUUCUCAAUCAAUCAUGGUUGAACCGGCGAAUACCGUUGGAAUCCCACUGAACCACGCCGCGCUGCUGAGGGAUGAGCUCGACAUCGUGAUCCCGACGAUCCGCAACCUCGAUUUCCUCGAGAUGUGGAGGCCUUUUCUCCAGCCUUACCAUCUCAUCAUCGUCCAGGACGGAGAUCCUUCCAAGACCAUUGCUGUCCCCGAAGGGUUCGAUUACGAGCUCUACAACAGGAACGACAUUAACCGUAUCCUCGGUCCCAAAGCUUCGUGCAUCUCCUUCAAGGACUCUGCUUGUCGCUGCUUCGGUUACAUGGUCUCUAAGAAGAAGUACAUCUUCACAAUUGAUGACGAUUGCUUCGUAAGUUUCCCAUAAUUCUCAAAGUUUGCUCCUUUUUUUUUUUUUCGCUCUGUUUUUGUCUGAAUCUAUUUAGAUCUGCUUUUAUGUUAUGUUUUGUGUCUUUGCGAGAUCUUGUUACAGUGUCGGUUGAUUUGACAGAUCUGAAACUGUUGACAUAACACUGUUUUUACCUAGAUCUAUCUACUCAUUGUUCUCGAUCUGCUUUUUUCUUCAGAAUUGCGAGAUUGUUUAGUUUGUGAGCAUUUAAUUGUAAUAGUUCAUGAUCUCUUGUGUUUAGGUAAUUUUAGUGAUGACAUUGUUGUUUGGACCAAUCUAUCUAUGUCAUAACAGUUAGCUUCACAAGAUUCCUGCAUGUCAUUGUCCGAAAAGUUCAAUCUUUUAAUUCCCCUGUUUUAAGGAAUUGUGGGGCUUGUCCAAGGAUUUGAAUUUGAUUGUAAUGAUCUUCUCAUGUUUAGGUAGUUUUUAGUGAUGAUGACAUUGUUGUUUGGACCAAUCUAUCUAAUGUCAUAACAGUUAGCUUCUCAAGAUUCUUGCAUGUUAUUGUCUGUCACACGUUUUUUUUUAUUUACAACGGCAAAGAAAAGUCCAAACUUUUAAUUCCUCUGUUUAAGGAUUUGUGAGGGGGGCUUGUCCAAGAAUUUGAGUUUGCAGUUACGUCAUGAUUGUAGCAUGGAUGUUACUUUCAUGAUGUGUUGGUUUGAUCACGUGUAACGUGUUGUUCAUCAUGUUUUUUAUUUUAUUUAUGGCUUGAGUUAGAUUUGAAUAAAAUUUAUGUAUUCUUUUGUUUGUUGUCAUGUGUUGUAGGUUGCUAAGGAUCCAUCUGGAAAAGCUGUGAACGCACUUGAGCAACACAUCAAGAACCUUCUCUGCCCAUCGUCCCCACUUUUCUUCAACACCUUGUACGACCCAUACCGUGAAGGUGCUGACUUCGUCCGUGGAUACCCUUUCAGUCUCCGUGAGGGUGUUUCCACUGCUGUUUCCCAUGGUCUCUGGCUCAACAUCCCUGAUUACGAUGCUCCGACCCAACUCGUGAAGCCUAAGGAAAGGAACACAAGGUAGUUGUUUAACAUCUUUUCUUUUCUACUUUUUUUAGAUAUUUUAAUUAGCUAACAAUAUGCUUAAAUGGGAUUAUUGUGAAGGUAUGUGGAUGCUGUCAUGACCAUCCCAAAGGGAACACUAUUCCCAAUGUGUGGAAUGAACUUGGCCUUUGACCGUGAGCUCAUUGGUCCGGCUAUGUACUUCGGUCUCAUGGGUGAUGGUCAGCCUAUUGGUCGCUACGACGAUAUGUGGGCUGGGUGGUGUGUCAAGGUACUUUAAUUUCCCAUUCUCCUUCAUAGUUUUUGGACUAUAUUUGAAUGCUUACCGGUUUCUUAUGGGUCUGUUCUUUAGGUGAUCUGUGAUCAUUUGGGAUUGGGAGUGAAGACGGGUCUUCCCUACAUCUACCACAGCAAGGCGAGCAACCCAUUUGUGAACCUGAAGAAGGAGUACAAGGGAAUUUUCUGGCAGGAGGACAUCAUUCCUUUCUUCCAGAGUGCAAAGCUCUCGAAAGAAGCUGUGACGGUUCAACAAUGCUACAUUGAGCUGUCCAAGAUGGUGAAGGAGAAGCUUAGCGCCAUUGAUCCUUACUUUGACAAGCUUGCUGAUGCUAUGGUGACUUGGAUUGAAGCUUGGGAUGAGCUUAACCCGGCCACUAAAGCUUGAGCAAUUAAAAAACCACCACUGCAGUUUUGGUUAUUAGCUUAACCUAUCAUCUAUCUUCCUUCCCUGUUUUGUUUUCUUUCAUUUCCCGGCGAUUAUUCAGUUGGUUUUUAAGUCGCCUUGAGUUUAUUUAAAUAGUGAUGGUGUAGUUCUAUUUAAGAUGGAGACAGUCUAUACUCUUGAGCUUUUUGUGUUCUGUUUCAAUAAUAAAAUCAUCUUUGAUGUCAUAUAGUCUUUGUUAUCUUUGCUUCCUGGUUUGUUGACAUGUUAGUUUGGUAGCCAAACAAAGCCUUAAAUUAUGUUUGAUUGAGUAUGAGCCCACUUGGUGUUUCACUGGCUUUAAAGGAUCUUGGAGAAGAGAUGAUGAGCAAGGUAACCAUUUCGUGUGACUCCAAUGAUUUUUGUUUUGGGCCUAUGCGGCUUGAGUUGUUCAAAAUGUGAAAUUCUUCUAGUAGUUUUGGGCUUCUAGUUGUCCAUGUGAUUAGCGAAGAUCUAGUCUUGGAUUACUGGUCUGUUAGUCCAUAAAAAGAUUACUGGUUACUCCUCAAUCAUGCUACAAUUUUAGACUAGUAACCAAGAUUUUAUGAUUUUGUCCAAUGACCACUAGAACAUUUUUUUUACUUUAUUACCAUUUUAUUCUAUAUUCCUUAUGUUACUCAUAUGAUAUUACAAGUCUGAAAUGGUUUAGGGAGGUUAAUAACGCAUUUAUAUAACUUUUUUUUACAAAUUUAGAGGAUUACAUGUAUGUAAGUUUUAAAGAAAUUGGAAGGCUAUAGGUCAAUAUGUCACUAAUCUAUGCUCAUGAUCGGCCCUGCUAAAAUUAGAGGAAAUUGUCGAUCUAAUGGGUAAGGAUUACACUGGACAACAGACAUAAAAACCCUCUCAUCAACUUAAUUGGUAAGAUAAAUUAAGAAAAAGUUAGAUUAUUAUGUGUACACUAUGUGUACCUUAAGACUGUGUCAAUCUCAUGUUUAUCUAAGUUUUUUAAAUUUUAAUCAGGUUUGUUUAUCUAAGUUCUUUAAAUGUUUUUUUUUUGGAUAAACCCUAUCGGAUGAUCUGGUAGGCUCCGAGAAGAACGCAAUAAGUGCUACAGAGUGGACUGGCUACCACGUUGCUUUACCCGAGUUUGAAAUACCUUCCGACUAAUGUCGGGGUGAACCGAUCAUCAAUCUGUAAAUUCAUAUUUGAUACAAGAAGAAAAAAAUUCAAGUGAGUUGACAUGCAUGCGAGUGUUUUAUGUCAUCUUGAAUGAUGAUGACAUAAACUAGUAACAGAUACUAACACUGGUUAACAACUCUUUUUGAAAAGAUAACAUUAAGAGAAAAAGACAAAAAUAACACUAAAUCAAGUUUUUGUUCCCAAACUAGCACUCAAGGUCAAAAGUCACAAAAAUAGCACUUAAUGUUUUAUCAAAAGUCACAAACUUAUGGUUUAGAGUUAAAGGGUGGUGUUUAGGAUUUAGGGUUUAGGGUUUAGAGUUUAGGGUUUAGAGUUUAGAGUUUAGGGUUUAGGGUUUAGAGUUUAGGGUUUAGGGUUUAGGGUUUAGAGUUGAGAAAUGAGGUUUUGGGGAUAAGAUUUCAAAUUUUGAAAAACAAAAAAAUUAAAAUUUUCAAAGGAUAAACUUAGAAAGGUGCUAUUUUGGUCAUUUUAAUUUUUGAGUGCUAUUUUUGUGAUAUAAACUUAGAAAUGUGCUAUUUUGG